rnacentral:rRNA from 1 species
UACGUAGGGUCCGAGCGUUGUCCGGAAUUAUUGGGCGUAAAGGGCUCGUAGGCGGUUUGUCGCGUCGGGAGUGAAAACACCGGGCUUAACUCGGUGCUUGCUUUCGAUACGGGCAGACUAGAGGUAUGCAGGGGAGAACGGAAUUCCUGGUGUAGCGGUGAAAUGCGCAGAUAUCAGGAGGAACACCGGUGGCGAAGGCGGUUCUCUGGGCAUUCCCUGACGCUGAGGAGCGAAAGUGUGGGGAGCGAACAGG